rnacentral:rRNA from 1 species
GAGUAACACGUAUCCAACCUGCCGUCUACUCUUGGACAGCCUUCUGAAAGGAAGAUUAAUACAAGAUGGCAUCAUGAGUUCACAUGUUCACAUGAUUAAAGGUAUUCCGGUAGACGAUGGGGAUGCGUUCCAUUAGAUAGUAGGCGGGGUAACGGCCCACCUAGUCUUCGAUGGAUAGGGGUUCUGAGAGGAAGGUCCCCCACAUUGGUACUGAGACACGGACCAA